rnacentral:rRNA from 1 species
GACGAACGCUGGCGGCGUGCUUAACACAUGCAAGUCGAACGGAAAGGCCCUGCUUUUGUGGGGUGCUCGGGUGGCGAACGGGUGAGUAACACGUGAGUAACCUGCCCUUGACUUUGGGAUAACUUCAGGAAACUGGGGCUAAUACCGGAUAGGAGCUCCUGCUGCAUGGUGGGGGUUGGAAAGUUUCGGCGGUUGGGGAUGGACUCGCGGCUUAUCAGCUUGUUGGUGGGGUAGUGGCUUACCAAGGCUUUGACGGGUAGCCGGCCUGAGAGGGUGACCGGCCACAUUAGGACUGAGAUACGGCCCAGACUCCUACGGGAGGCAGCAGUGGGGAAUAUUGCACAAUGGGCGGAAGCCUGAUGCAGCAACGCCGCGUGCGGGAUGACGGCCUUCGGGUUGUAAACCGCUUUCGCCUGUGACGAAGCGUGAGUGACGGUAAUGGGUAAAGAAGCACCGGCUAACUACGUG